AUUGAACGCUGGCGGCAUGCCUUACACAUGCAAGUCGAACGGUAACAGGUCUUCGGAUGCUGACGAGUGGCGGACGGGUGCGUAAUACUUAGGAACGUGCCAGAUCGUUGGGGAUAACGAAGCGAAAGCUUUGCUAAUACCGCAUAAGAUCUACGGAUGAAAGCAGGGGACCGCAAGGCCUUACGCGAACUGAGCGGCCGCUGGGAGAUUAGGUAGUUGGUGGGAUAAAAGCUUACCAAGCCGACGAUCUGUAGCUGGUCUGAGAGGACGACCAGCCACACUGGGACUGAGACACGGCCCAGACUCCUACGGGAGGCAGCAGUGGGGAAUUUUGGACAAUGGGCGAAAGCCUGAUCCAGCCAUGCCGCGUGCAGGAUGAAGGCCUUCGGGUUGUAAACUGCUUUUGUACGGAACGAAAAGACGCUGGUUAAUACCUGGGGUCCAUGACGGUACCGUAAGAAUAAGCACCGGCUAACUACGUG
rnacentral:rRNA from 1 species